UACGUAGGGUCCGAGCGUUGUCCGGAAUUACUGGGCGUAAAGAGCUCGUAGGUGGUUUGUCGCGUUGUUCGUGAAAACUCACAGCUCAACUGUGGGCGUGCGGGCGAUACGGGCAGACUAGAGUACUGCAGGGGAGACUGGAAUUCCUGGUGUAGCGGUGAAAUGCGCAGAUAUCAGGAAGAACACCUAUGGCGAAGGCAGCUCUCUGGGACGGUACUGACGCUGAGACGCGAAAGCGUGGGGAGCGAACAGG
rnacentral:rRNA from 1 species